CUUCCGGUUCUGGGGCGUCUGCGCGUGCGCACCGCGAGUGCCCCGCCCCGCUGCUGGCUCGCGGCCCCCUCGCUUUGCUCGUCCAGCCUCAGGUGCGAAGGUGAAGCCGAUACUGAAGCUAAGGCACGCUAUUGCGAAUCAGCCCGUUGCUGAGAAUCACAAUGUCUGGUUCAUGCCUGCAGCCACAGCUCUAGAACUGGCACUUGGCUGGUACCAGCCACGGCCUGUCUUGGACAGAGACCCCAGAAUGGACCCAGAACUUGUCAGCUGAAGUUAUUGGAGAUAGGUGACCUCCUCCACAGACACCAGCAGCCUGACAGGUUUUGCUCACCAAAGAAUCGCUCAGGGAAUCCCUGCUUUGCAAGUCGUCUCCCGCAAGCUUUCGGCCUUGAUUCCUGAUCCCGAAUGUUCUCCUUUCCCCAUCCCGUUGGACUUGGACUGAUGUCAACCCUGAUUCAUGUUUCUUGCACUGCAAGCUGGCCCCUAAUGCCGUUUAAUUGAAAGGACCUUUCUUGAAGGAGGCGUCCAUCGUUGUUGGCACAGAUUAUCUUGGCUGUACGUAGAUGCUGCACAAGUCACUUAGGUUUAUGGAAUACUUAAGGGGAUGUGAGAACAGGGAAACUUCAUGGAGGAAGAGAGGAUUCCCCUCCACACACCCAUGCCUGCCGAUGGGUGUGUGUAAGACACACACAGGGUAUCACUGCUCUUGAAUCUUCUGACUUACUCUGAAUGGGGAUGGAGCAGGCAAAGCAGGAUGGAUCAAUUUCAUUUCAAUUGUAGUAUAUGUGCUGCCGAAGCGAACACAAGACCUCGUCGCAUCUGUUCCUGCUCCUUCUCAUCCAGAAUGUGAUUCCCAUCCCGAUCAAACCUGGUGAAGGCAGCUGUGAGCUCACAGACCUCAUGCUCCUCGUGCCCCAGUCUGAGAAAAGCAAGAGGAUGAAGCAAC